CUUGCAUCCACAUCUUCGUGUGUCAUAACUGCCAAAAGAUUUACACCUUCAGUGUCCAACAUCCAUUCAUUUUCUGCUUUAAAUCCUUCAUUGUCAUCAAACUUCUGCACCUUACUGUUCUUUAUAAACACCUUGUUAAUAUCUGGAAUACCCCGGAGAGCCAUCUCCGUCAGCAUGUUACUCUCGAUCUUCUUAAGGAAUACAUCAUCCUCAGCAGAUUCAUCCAGCUCACCUUUUGGAGCUUCAUCAUUCAUAAUACGAAUUCGAAGGAUUAGCUUUUCCGCAUUAUCAUCGUUAAAAAUACAGGUUAAGUCAUCAUCAAAUUCAAGGUUGAUCUUUUCAGCAAUGUCAGCCAUGCUAAGUUUCUUAUCCACCAUCAUUUCACGAUUUAACUCUAUGCGAAGCAACCAUGGAGAGAUUUUGUCAGGGUCAAUCUCUUCAUCUGGCAUUUCAUAGUAUGACUUGACAAAUUCAACAUCCUCUUCAAUAAGGGUGCUCAUAGGAUCAGGAUCAUACCACACUUCUGUGGCUUGAGUAACACUCCGCAAAGUGGUAUAUUCUAACGCACACUGGACAGUUUUGGCCCUCUCUUUUGUUUUGCCUACCUCAGGUUUUAAGUACACAGAAAGAGAAGGUGUUUUGAUUUUCUUGGCAACAUUGAUGAUCUCCCUCAACCUUGGCACACCAAGAGUAACAUUCUUGGCACUCACACCAGCAUAAUGAAAUGUAUUAAGAGUCAUCUGUGUGGCAGGUUCACCAAUAGACUGUGCAGCAACACAGCCAAUCAUCUCUCCUGGUGCCACAAGGGAUUGCAAGAAGCGAGACUCUAUCUCACCAACUACCCAUUCAAAAGCCUCUCGACUAAGCCUAUACUCCUUCAGAACCCUUUUACUAGCCAAGGCACUACGGAGCAAGAUAUUGAAGAAAAGAGUAGCAUUCUUUUGAGCCUCCAUGCUUAGAUAAUCAUCACCAGGAACAACCUUAAGCCUCUCCUGUAACUUAUCAACAGCUUCCACGAUCUCCAUCGGAUGCAUGUCAGAGGGCCUCCGGAAAUCUAUUUUAAAUGUCUUUUGGGCAUUUAAGACAAGCCUCUGAAUGUUAACAGGAAGAGGCCAAGAAUUGUCACCCGUUACAGCAAUCUCUGUCCCAAGCUGAUGUCUAUCAGCUUCAAGUUUCUGGACCUCCGCAUCAAACACACUACGAAUCUCCCGAAUACCUUUUAAAUCUUCGACAGCUUCUGGCAACAUGUAACUUGGGUUCCAGUUAGGAUCAUCGAUCUCAUAUGCAUACAUGUCAUCAAAUGUUCCUUUCUUUGCUUUCAGAGAAUCCAGCUUCUGUGUCUCAAUCCAAACAGAAUCCAUCCCAUCUUCCCCAUACAGAAACUGGAUUACAU
rnacentral:misc_RNA from 1 species